UGGACUGAACCAACAAUACCAACAACAUCCAUCACCCCCAAUACCUCCUGGACUGGACCAACAAUGCAAACAACAUUCAUCACCUCCUGGACUGGACCAACAUCACCAACAUCAUCCAUCAUCACCAAUACCUCCUGGACUGGACCAACAACACCAACAACAUCCAUCACCUCCAAUACCUCCUGGACUGAACCAACAACACCAACAACAUCCACGACAUGGAAAAAAACGUGUACAUUUGCCUGAAACUGGACCCUUUUGUAAAUAGCUUGACAAAAUGAACAUCAUAUAUUAACCAAAAGUCAACGGAACCUGUGCAAGCAACAGACCAGAUUACAGACCAAUGAAACACACUUAAAGGAUGCACAUGCAACAGACCAGAUUACAGACCAAUGAAACACACUUAAAGGAUGCACAUACAACAGACCAGAUUACAGACCAAUGAAACACACUUAAAGGAUGCAGGGAAGAGGAAUAACACACCAGGGUGAAGAUGGAGGACCAAUGAAACACACUUAAAGGAUGCACAUGUGAAGAGGAAUAACACACCAGGGUGAAGAUGGAGGUGAAGAUGGGGGACCCCUCCCAUCAUCCUAGACAAAUGAGAAAGGCCAGACACAGAGGAACCAGAGCCAGAGACGUCCAAACCAGCAAGACCACACCACUGCUCCCUCUGUGGAAAGAGUUUUAGCCAGUUAAUGAAUCUGAAAAGACACGAGAGAACACACAUAGGAGAUAAGCCUCAUCACUGCUCCCAUUGUGGGAAGAGUUUUACCCGAUUAGAACACCAGAAAAAACAUGAGAGAACACACACAGGAGAGAAACCUUUCCACUGCUCCCAGUGCGGAAAUAAUUUUACCCGGUUAGGGAGCCUGAAUGAGCAUAAGAGAAUUCACACAGGAGAGAAACCUUUCCACUGUUCCCUGUGUGGAAAGAAUUUUACCUGGUUAGCAAGCCUGAAUGAACAUAAGAAAAUUCACACAGGAGAGAAACCUUUCCACUGCUCCCAGUGUGGAAAGAAUUUUGCCCGGUUGUGGAACCUAAAGGAGCAUGAAAGAAUACACACUGGAGAGAAGAUAUACAAAUGUUCUCAAUGUGGAAAGAGUUUUACCUGGUUAGGUGAUCUGAAAAGACAUAAGAGGACACACACAGGAGAGAAGCCUUAGCAAUGCUCCCACUGUGGAAAGAGAUUCACCCGGGCAUGAGGGAACACGCAGACAAGAAAGCCUUACCACUGUACCCACGGUGGAGAGAGAUUUACCCAGUUAGGGAAAGACCAUGAGGGAACACACAGACAAAAAGCCUUACCGCUGCUCCCAGGAUGUAGAGAGAUUUACCCAGUUAGGGAAAGACCAUGAAGGAACACACAGACAAAAAGCCUUACCACUGUACCCCAGGUGGAGAGAGAUUUACCCAGUUAGGGAAAGACCAUGAGGGAACACACAGA